rnacentral:rRNA from 1 species
GGGCCCGCACAAGCGGUGGAGCAUGUGGUUUAAUUCGAUGAUACGCGAGGAACCUUACCAGGGCUUAAAUGCAGAGCGACAGAGGUGGAAACACCUCCUUCUUCGGACGGUCUGCAAGGUGCUGCAUGGUUGUCGUCAGCUCGUGCUGUGAAGUGUCGGGUUAAGUCCCAUAACGAGCGCAACCCCUAUUUCUAGUUGCCAGCGGUUCGGCCGGGGACUCUAGAGAAACUGCCAGCGUAAGCUGUGAGGAAGGUGGGGAUGACGUCAAAUCAUCACGGCCCUUACGUCCUGGGCUACACACGUGCUACAAUGGUAGGGACAGAGAGUUGCCAACCCGCGAGGGUGAGCUAAUCUUUAAACCUUAUCUCAGUUCGGAUUGCACUCUGCAACUCGAGUGCAUGAAGCUGGAAUU